GUGCAACCUGCUCGGGUUCCCUUCCACGCUGUGGAAGGUUUGUUCUUUUUGUUCUUUGCCUUAAAUGCUGCUGCUGCUGCUCAGUCUUUGGGUCCACACUGCUUUUAUGAGCUGUAACACCACGAAGGUCUGCAGCUUCACUCCUGAAGCCAGUGAGACCACAAACCCACUGGGAGGAACAAACAACUCCAGACGCGCCCGCUUAAGAGCUGUAACAUUCACCAGGAAGGUCUGCAGCUUAGAGCGAGACCACAAACCCCCCAGAAGGAAGAAACUCCGAAUACAUCCGAACAUCAGAAGGAACAAACUCCGGACACGCCACCUUUAAGAACUGUAACUCAUUGCGAGGGUCCGCGGCUUCAUUCUUGAAGUCAGUGAGACCGAGAACCAACCAAUUCCGGACACAGAACGAAUCAACCAAGGAUGGAAAGCCCCUCUUUGAGCCGAAGGACUAGAGGAACAAAAGACUCAGCCCCAAGGUUAUCCG
ensembl:lncRNA novel transcript